rnacentral:rRNA from 1 species
UACGGAGGGUGCAAGCGUUGCUCGGAAUUAUUGGGCGUAAAGGGUAGGUAGGUGGUCUCAUUUGUCUGGGGUGAAAGCCUUGAGCUUAACUCAAGAAGUGCCUCAGAAACGGUGAGACUAGAGUACUGGAGAGGGUCGUGGAAUUCCCGGUGUAGCGGUGAAAUGCGUAGAGAUCGGGAGGAACACCAGAGGCGAAGGCGGCGACCGGGACAGUAACUGACCCUCAACUACGAAAGCGUGGGUAGCAAACAGG